rnacentral:rRNA from 1 species
UCGAGGAUGAACGCUGGGCGGCGUGCUUAACACAUGCAAGUCGAACGGAGUUUUUAAACGGAAGUUUUCGGAUGGAAGUUUAGAAACUUAGUGGCGGACGGGUGAGUAACGCGUGGGUAACCUGCCUCAUACAGGGGGAUAACAGUUAGAAAUGACUGCUAACACCGCAUAAUAUAGCGAAACCGCAUGAUUUUUGCUAUCAAAUAUUUAUAGGUAUGAGAUGGGCCCGCGUCUGAUUAGCUAGUUGGUGGGGUAAAAGCCUACCAAGGCGACGAUCAGUAGCCGGCUUGAGAGAGUGACCGGCCACAUUGGGACUGAGACACGGCCCAAACUCCUACGGGAGGCAGCAGUGGGGAAUAUUGGACAAUGGGGGAAACCCUGAUCCAGCGACCGCCGCGUGAGUGAAGAAGUAUUUCGGUAUGUAAAGCUCUAUCAGCAGGGAAGAUAAUGACAGUACCUGACUAAGAAGCCCCGGCUAACUACGUGCCAGCCGCUGC